rnacentral:rRNA from 1 species
GUUAUCGUUUAUUUGAUGUUUCCUUACUACAUGGAUAACCGUAGUAAUUCUAGAGCUAAUACAUGCCCACAAAGCCCCGACGCAAGAAGGGGUGUAUUUAUUAGAUUCAAACCAACAUUUAACCCGGUGAUUCAUAGUAACUCUUUGUUUUCGAACCGCAUGGCCUUGCGCUGGCGGUGCUUCAUUCAAAUUUCUGCCCUAUCAACUUUCGAUGGUAGGAUAGUGGCCUACCAUGGUUUUAACGGGUGACGGGGGAUUAGGGUCUUAUCCCGGAGAGUAUGCCUGAGAGACGGCAAACACAUCCAAGGAAGGCAGCAGGCGCGCAAAUUACCCAAUCCCAACACGGGGAGGUAGUGACAAUAAAUACCAAUGCAGAGCCCACUGGGUUUUGCAAUUGGAAUGAGAACAAUUUAAAUCCCUUAACGAGGAUCCAUUAGAGGGCAAGUCUGGUGCCAGCAGCCGCGGUAAUUCCAGCUCUAAUAGCGUAUAUUAAAGUUGUUGCAGUUAAAAAGCUCGUAGUUGGACUUUUGGGAAAAUUAAAAGGAUGGUGAAUUAAAAGUUGUUGGGCGUUUAAACGCGUCCGAUGACCGCUAUCCCCCAAUCAUUUAUGUGGGAGGGGGUCAUUCGUUGGGUCUGGAGGUUGUCUGGCUUUGUCGCAAGGCAGGGUCGGGUGGCAAUACCGUCAUGGGUGGCCAUUCCAAACUCUCUCACUUUUUACCUUGAGCAAAUUAGAGUGUUCAAAGCGGGCUUGUUACGCUUGAAUAGUCUAGCAUGGAAUAAUGGAAUAGGACUCGAGUCCUGUUCGUUGGUUUUUGGGAUUUGAGUAAUGAUUAAUAGGGAUGGUUGGGGCCGUUUGUAUUCCGUUGUCAGAGGUGAAAUUCUUGGAUUUACGGAAGACAAACAUCUGCGAAAGCAUUCGGCAAGCACAUGCUCAUUAAUCAAGAACGAAAGUUAGGGGAUCGAAGACGAUCAGAUACCGUCGUAGUCUUAACCAUAAACUAUGCCGACUCGGGAUCCG